AUUUAUUUAUAAAUAAAUAAACUCACGACAACAUUGAAAUCUAUUCUUUCUAUUUAACAGUGUUUGUAUUUGAAGUUUCUUUUUGAUGUCCCAGACAAGCCCCCAGAGUUCAUCGCCUCGAUUUCUAACUGCACCAAUAUCCCAACUCUUAAGGAUAUGGUUAUACCAAAGGAAUUGAGAGACAUAGUAUCAUCCCCAUCAUAUAAAGUCAAGCAGUUGAAGGUAGAGAUAUCGAAGUCAUUUACUACACAUGAAUUUAUUGAACUCGUGGAUAGCUUGCUCUGGAUAUCUCCUCUUCUAGAGCUUUUGUUAAGAAAAUAUGGGAAAUGGAUAGACGAAGAUAAGUGUUACGAGACCAUAUCUUUCAAGUUCUCCUAUGAAAAGCCCAUUCUUGGAGGGGAGAAUUCUAGUUGUUGCAAAUUCCUUCCAGUUCCUAGUUGGAGGCAUUGAUUAAAGAGCAUCACGAUAGAGAACUUUAGAGCAUUCACAAAUGUAGAGACUCUAAAGGCAGAUGAAGAAUUUCUAGAGAAGUUCAAAGCUUAUUAUUUAUUAUUUAUUUAUGACAUCAUCAGUUCGACCAUUGGUCCGAUCAUAAAACCAAGAACCACUCCUUAUUUCGAUUCUUUGACCAUACCGAUUUUCAAAACUAUUUGGCUUAUGACCUAAAAACUCAUAUGUUAAAUUUGGACAAAAAUAUUGGUAUACAUGAACAUGAUGAGAAGAGGGGACUAUCUUUCAAUA